UAAGUGAAAGUGAAAGUUUGAGGCUCAACCUCGAAACUGCUUUUCAAACUACUAAACUUGAGUAUGUGAGAGGUAAUUGGAAUCCCUAGUGUAGGAGUGAAAUCCGUAGAUAUUAGGAGGAACACCAAUGGCGAAGGCAGAUUACUGGCACAUUACUGACGCUAAGGCACGAAAGCGUGGGGAGCGAACUGGAUUAGAUACCCAGGUAGUCCACGCUGUAAACGAUGGAUGCUA
rnacentral:rRNA from 1 species